rnacentral:rRNA from 1 species
UGGGGAAUUUUCCGCAAUGGGCGAAAGCCUGACGGAGCAAUGCCGCGUGGAGGUGGAAGGCCUACGGGUCGUCAACUUCUUUUCUCGGAGAAGAAACAAUGACGGUAUCUGAGGAAUAAGCAUCGGCUAACUCUGUGCCAGCACGCCG